GCCUAGUGAGUGGGGCCUGAUUGAUUAACCUUUGCCUUAUUGGAAUUGGACGGUUCCCAAUUGCCUCCCAGGAGAAACUAAGCUGCUCUUUUUACAGAGAUGAACAUGGUUUGCAGCACUUUUGCAUGCAUCAUCUCGUUUAUGAGUAUUUAAAACUAAAUAAAAAAUCUGCAUUCACUACCAUUUCGUUUGGUAGGGAAAGCAAAAAGGUG
rnacentral:lncRNA from 1 species